CAACCUUAGAUCAGAAAUGGCGACCUGCUGGAUGUAAAGAUCUCCCUAAGCGGAGGUAAACAAACCGACCAGGAGUCAUCAGUAAUGGUGAGUGAAGAGGAAGAGCCCAGUGCUGAAUCCACAUCCAGCAGCGCGUGACGGUAAUGUGGAAUACAGAAGACCGACACCCCAAGAUUACUCAGGGGGCACAAGUGCUUCUUUUCGGGUCACUCCACGUGGAUGGUGUUAGGCUGGUAGCAGUCCCUGGCAUGUUGGGAUUAGGUCUUUUCUGAGUCGGGCACUUGAAAAUGCAGCCCAAAGUGGUGGUGGAGACUGCAUCAAAGGCUAAGUAUGGGCUUGAGACUGAUAGCUAAAAGUGCCAUAAUGGGAGAGGUGAAAUGUACUUUGAAGAGAGAUUUCAGAGGGUGUGAAACCAUCCAGAGGUAAAUGGGUGGGGAUUCAACAUGGUUGGUAGGUUUGUCACCCAGAAAAAGGGAUCCCCUUGAGGAACUGCCACAUGGGCCAAUGGCCCCCACAGGGAACAUUUCCUCCAUGAGGGUGCACAGUGAAUUUGGUCCAAGUCAGCUGGAAAUGCCCUGUGGGUCAGGUCGCUCUCUGCUCUGAAGGUGAGGGCUGGGGCACGCUGGCUAAGGUGGGAUCCCAUUGCACCCUGCGCAACACAGACCCCUCUUGGUCUCUCUCUUGGGGAGGUGGAGCAGGAGCAUGUGUGUUAUGACCCAAACGAUGGUCAACUAUGUCUGAACAGGGCAAAGGCAGAGGGACCUCUGGUGGAGGUCCAUAGCAAUACUGUCAUGCAAAUAGGUCAUCAGAGCUGGGAACAGGGGCAGAUGACUAAUCUAGUAGCUAGUUCCCUCUGGAGUUUCCCACAGGACAGCUGGCACUCAAAAUCACAGUUUUAUCUGAUGAGGCAAAUGAUUAGUGGUCUUGGGGCCAAAACAAUCUCAACCUAUUCUCAGACCUUAUAUGGGUGAGGAGCCUGCAUCGCUGGCAUGAAGCUGGGCAUCAAAUGCCAGUGCCCAGUGUGCCACCUUUGUACACAGAACUGGCCCUGCAGGAUGAACCGAAUGGCAGGUUAAGGCACACAAUGCUGAUGCCCAUCAGGUACCAGAAAAGGUGUUGGUUGAUAUAGACAGCAGAACGUGGCAAUGGAAGUCACAAUCUGUAAAGGAGUGUGUAACAGCUCACCUGCCCAUUUACUAGCCCUUGCAUUGUAUGGUGCUAGAGCGUCAGGACCAUACCCAGCUGCUGCCAUUGCUGAGAGCCUCAGGGGCUAAGCCGCGAUGAGUAGGAGGGCUGCUGCAGGGUGCACAGUAGCCCAAGUCAAUUUCCCGGGUGGAGCCACCACAGGUUCAGAUAAUAGUGGUAGUAGUAAAUAUUCAAGCAACACCUUUGAAGGCCGUAGUGGAGGAGGUACCAGGUGCACAGAUGUUGACCAUGGGUCAGUCAUUUCUAAGAGAUGGGCGAGCACCUUUCAAAAGUGAUAGGCAAUGGCCUCCAUUGCCUCAGCCAAUUAAAAGGAAGUUGGGUUCAGAUCCCCAUACCCAGAGUGGCAUAUAAGGGCACCCUGGGCGCAUCCAUUGCAGUAAUGCAAAAGUUCCCAGAGCACCCAUUGUGAGCCCUGGCCAGAGUUCUAUUUUCUCUGUGAAGGGCAGGACUCCUUUAAAUGGGUUUGCCUGAGAGAGGAACAUGAGCCUUGGAAAGCAUUGCGCUUCAGGUGGUGUACAGUGAGCUCUCACUGGUCCUUGUUAAGUGAGUGAAGAUGGUUUAAACCUUGCACAUGAUUGUACCUAUAGACACAGCAGGUAUCCAAGGUGAACCACCUCUGGCAUGUUGGAUCAAUGUAGGUAAGGGCAGUCAGCAAGUCAGAUCGUUAACUUCAGGAUGAGAAUUGGUUCUAAGGGCUGAGUGUAUGAGGCUGGUGUAUGUACUGGGGCUGGCCACCCACCACCUUCGACACAUGUUGGGCCCUUCCUGUGGAUCUCCCCAGCUGGUGUAGUGGCCUCUCCCCAUACUCCUCUCAGGGUUUGGGCCAGCAUUCUGCUUCAGCCGAUGCCUAGCAGCUGACUUAGAACUGGUCCAGACCAGGGCAAUCCGAACAGUUUAAUUGAAACAAGUCAUCACAAAGGACCUUGGUGGGUACCGUCACAAUGUGAUUUCUGCCUAGUGCUCUGAAUGUCAAAGUGAAGAAAUUCAUUGAAGCACAUGUAAAUGUCUGGAGUAAUUGUGAAUCUCUAAAGGUGGCCAAAUGCUACUUCAUCUCAUUGGUGGCAUGCAUGAAUAGAUUUACGGGAUUCCCAUAGUCCCUACCUACUAUUGAGUAAGCCAUAGCCAAGGGAAUGAAUUAGCAUGGAUAGGAGACCCUGUUGAGCUUGGCUCUAGUCUGGGACUUUGAGGAGGCAUGUGAGGUGUAAGAUAGAUGGGUGGCUCUCGGAAAAGCGAUUAAAUCACAAUACUGUGUCAUUUUUCCACUUACCCAGGGAGACGGGUGGGCAUGCCCCAUAGGGCUAUCACUUCUACCUCAAAACAGCCAACUUCAGUCACACACAACCUGGUCCAAGGAUAUUGGCAUCUGGGGAGCUUGACUGGGUAAUAUUCACUGAAAUAUUUAGGUAUGUAUGUAUUUGUCUCGGGAUGGAUCUGAAUGGUGAAACAGAUAAAGUUACCCCUGGGUGCCUUUUUCCAUAGAAAACAGAGUGCUUGACUGGGGAAGUACACCUGUCCUAAGAUAAUGCAGGCAUUCUGAUGCAAGCUCAGGGAGGACAGAAAUAUCCCACUGAGAUGAAGGGCAAAACCUUGCUGGAUCUCAAUUUUACACAUGAAUACAGACCGUGUAAGUAGGGCCUCACAAUCCUUCAGACCUUUUGUGAUUCCAGCAGGAGGCGUCUGAAAAUUACCUCAGGGAUAACUGUCUUGUGGCUGCAAAACAUUCAUAGCCACUUCGCAUUCUGAUCCUUUCAUGUCGGCUUUUCCUAUCGUGAAGCAGAAUUCAGCAAACGUUAGAACGUUUACCCACUAAAGGUGAAUGUGAGCCGGGUUUAGACCAUCAUGUGACAGGUUAGUUUUACCCUACUGGUGAUGUGUUGUUGGAAUAGUACUCCUUCUCAGUAAUAGAGGAACUGCAUGUUCAGACAUUUGGUGUAUGUACUUGGAUGAGGAGCCAAUAGGGCGAAGCUGCCAUCUGUGGGAUUAUGAAUGAAUGCCUGUAAGUCAGAAUCUCCCCUAAACUGUAAUGGUAACACAGCACUGUGGAGCCUCUGCUGGCCUAGGAUAGCCAUCCUUUGGGCCAGCACAUAGAACUGCUUGCCUCAGGACCAGAGUGUGGAUAGAAGGGGGCAACCUCACUUGCCAGUAGUGCACCACAUGGUAAUGGGGAAUGUGAUGCAUAAUCAUUUGUAGACAAACUGAUUUUGGGUCAGUGUU
rnacentral:rRNA from 1 species